rnacentral:rRNA from 1 species
CCUACGGGAGGCUGCAGUGGGGAAUAUUGGGCAAUGGGCGCAAGCCUGACCCAGCAACGCCGCGUGAAGGAAGAAGGCUUUCUGGUUGUUAACUUCUUUUCUCUGGGACGCAGAACGUGACAGUACUUGAGGAAUAAGCCACGGCUAACUACCUGCCAUCAGCCACGGCAAUACGUAGGUGGCAAGCGUUAUCCGGAUUUCAUGGGUGUAAAGGGCGUGUAGGCGGGAUCGCAAGUCAGAUGUGAAAACUCAGGGCUCAAACCUGGGCCUGGAUUUGAAACUGGGUUUCUUGAGUGCUGGAGAGGCAUGCGGAAUUCGGUGUGUAGCGGUGAAAUGCGUAGAUAUACGGAGGAACACCGGUGGCGAAGGCAGAAUGCUGGACAGUAACUGACGCUGAGGCGCGAAAGCGUGGGGAGCGAACAGGAUUAGAUACCCGAGUAGUC